AACGGCUACCACAUCUAAGGAAGGCAGCAGGCGCGUAAAUUACCCAAUCCUGACUCAGGGAGGUAGUGACAAGAAAUAGCAAACUGGGGACCUCACGGUCUCACGGUAUUGCAAUGAGAACAAUUUAAAACACUUAGCGAGGAUCAAGUGGAGGACAAGUCUGGUGCCAGCACCCGCGGUAAUUCCAGCUCCACUAGCGUAUAUUAAAGUUGUUGCAGUUAAAAAGCUCGUAGUUGAACCUCUGUCUGGGGCUAAUUUUGGCUUAGGUCAGGUUAGUUCUAGGCAUCCGCCUACAAGACUUAGAGGGCAUUUACUUGUUCACUAGGAGGAGUAGGCAUUUUACUUUGAAAAAAUUAGAGUGUUUAAGGCAGGCAAUAGCUCGCAUAUAUUAGCAUGGAAUAAUAGAAUAGGACACUUUUCCAUUUCGUUGGUUAUUGGAAUCGUGUAAUGAUUAAUAGGGACAGUUGUGGGCAUUUGUAUUUAAUUGUCAGAGGUGAAAUUCUUGGAUUUAUUAAAGACAAACUAACGCGAAAGCAUUUGCCAAGGAUGUUUUCAUUAAUCAAGAACGAAAGUUAGGGGAUCAAAGACGAUCAGAUACCGUCCUAGUCUUAACUAUAAACUAUUCCGACUCAAUGUUUGACUGGCUUAUAUAACCAGUUGAGCGUUGUAUGAGAAAUCAAAGUCUUUAGGUUCUGGGGGGAGUAUGGUUGCAAAGCUGAAACUUAAAGGAAUUGACGGAAGAGCACAACCAGGAGUGGAUUCUGCGGCUUAAUUUGACUCAACACGGGGAAACUUACCAGGUUAAAACAAUAGUGGGAUUGACAGUUUGAGAGCGCUUUCUUGAUUUGUUGGGUGGUGGUGCAUGGCCGUUCUUAGUUGGUGGAGUGAUUGUCUGCUUAAUUGCGUUAACGAACGAGACCUUAACCUGCUUACUAGACUAAUGAUCAGUAAUCGUUAGCUCUUCUUAGAGGGACUUUGGUUGUUUUAACCCCAAGGAAGUUUGAGGCAAUAACAGGUCUGUGAUGCCCUUAGAUAUCCUGGGCCGCACGCGUCAUACGAUGACUAGUUCAGAAAGUUUUCUCCUGACCCGGAAGGGGAUGGGUAAUCUUGAUAAUACUAGUCGUGUUAGGGAUCGAUCUUUGCAAUUAUAGAUCUUGAACGAGGAAUUCCUAGUAAGUGCGGUUCAUCAGACCGUACUGAUUACGUCCCUGCUCUUUGUACACACCGCCCGUCGCUUCUACCGAGUGGGUGGUCCGGUGAGAUACUUGAACUUCUUAAGCAAUUGAGAGGAAAGAUUAUCAAACCUAUCCACCUCGAGGAAGAAGAAGUCGUAACAAGAUU
rnacentral:rRNA from 1 species